ACGUCUUUAACGCUGAAUUCCGGCUUUGGCCGGGAGCGGGGGAACCAACGCGCCGUUUGCUUCCACAAGCGAUGGCGCCGGGGUGAAUCCCUUUGUCCGAAAACCGGACGGGGGAAGGGCGACUCUCACGCCCGAAUCCGUCAGCUAACCUCGUAAGCGUAUCGGGAGAGGCCCC
rnacentral:sRNA from 2 species